rnacentral:rRNA from 1 species
UACAGAGGUCUCAAGCGUUGUUCGGAUUCAUUGGGCGUAAAGGGUGCGUAGGUGGCGCUGUAAGUCGGGUGUGAAAUCUCGGAGCUUAACUUCGAAACUGCAUUCGAUACUGCCGUGCUUGAGGACUGGAGAGGAGACUGGAAUUUACGGUGUAGCGGUGAAAUGCGUAGAUAUCGUAAGGAAGACCAGUGGCGAAGGCGGGUCUCUGGACAGUUCCUGACCACUGAGGCAACGAAGGCCCAGGGGAGCAAAACGGGG